AGAACGCUGACUAUGGGGCGGUGUAGUGAUUAUAUACUCGACGUGAACACCCGACUACGUCAAAUGACUCAUAAGAAGGUCCAGGGGCCUCCACCACUGCAAGAGAUUCUUCCUGGUUUACUGUUAAGCUAUAUCCCAUGUCAACCAGAUGCUGGUACUUGGCCCGGAAGGGUCUGGAAACACAGUGUAAAUACAGUUUAACACCGCAGUGGACCGCACCGAGUCUGGAACAGACAAUGCAGUGAUUGACAUCAUGAUACGAUGACAUGCAUCAACCAAGUCAGCGAGCCUGACCACCCGAUCCCGUUAGUGGCCUCUUACGACAAGCAUAGUCGCCUGUUACGGCAAGCAUGGGUUGCUGAAGACCUAUUCUAACCCGGAUCUGGAACCUAAUGAGGGCAAACAGGAACUCGAACCCGUGAUCAUAGGUUUCUCUCCCUUAGAUGAAUGGACCACCAGUUACUGAGUCUGCACUGAAAUAGGGGAGAUUGCCUCAGCGUUGAGGAAUGGGAUACUGGAGUAUUACUCACACCAAUCAAAGUGGCUAACUGCCGGAAGUUAGUUGAAGAUGGCACUUGCUCUAUUUGGGGAUAUAAUUUAACGUCGCAUCGGCAUUAUUUCAGCCAUAUAGCGACCUGUAUCUGAGAGUUUACUUCACGUAUACUUGGAAUGUAAAUUUGUAAAAAAUAAUAAUGAAUUUUGGUUGAAAAUUGAAAAAUUAACUUGCACUUUACCUGUAAAUAUAAUCUGACGAAAACGGAAAUAUUAUUUUGCCAUAUUCCUAGUAUACUCUUAAUUCAUAUCAUUCUUAUGGCCAAAACAUCAUGUACAUGUAGGCAGCAUCACAAACAGUAUCCCGACACUAGAUGCAGUCCUUGUGUGGACAGGGAUAUAAGCUUGAAAGGUUUAUAGCUGUUAAGAAUGAUCUAUUAACUAAAUCUGAGUGAAAAUGCAAACCACUGGACAAUAGUUUACUCUGUGAAGCUAAGAUUACAACACGAUAAUACAAUUAUAGGAUACAUCUGCAGUUGGCAUGUAUCACCCUUCGGGUUUGUUGAUAUUAGUGACGUAUUCGGCAUACACAAUACAAGUUCGUCUGUGGGUCCACAGCUGUUUGACAGCCUCCGUGGUCUAGUGGUAGAGCGUCCGCCCGGAGAGCGGAAGGUCCGGGGUUCGAUCCCCGGCCGUGUCAUACCAAAAGACGUUAAAAAAUGGUACUUGUUGUUACC